rfam:Triticum urartu cultivar G1812 contig1019685, whole genome shotgun sequence.
CAUAUACUCCCCCCGUUUCGAAUUACUUGUCUUAGAUUUGUCUAGAUACGGAGGUAUCUAGCACUAAAAUGAGUCUAGAUACAUCCGUAUCUAGACAAAUCCAAGACAAGUAAUUUGGAACGGAGGGAGUAUAUA